rnacentral:rRNA from 1 species
UACGUAGGUGGCGAGCGUUGUCCGGAUUUACUGGGCGUAAAGAGCGCGCAGGCGGUCGUGCAAGUCGCGUGUGAAAGCCCCCGGCUCAACUGGGGAGGGUCACGCGAUACUGAUCGACUCGAAGGCAGGAGAGGGUAGUGGAAUUCCCGGUGUAGUGGUGAAAUGCGUAGAUAUCGGGAGGAACACCAGUGGCGAAGGCGACUACCUGGCCUGUUCUUGACGCUGAGGCGCGAAAGCUAGGGGAGCAAACAGG